rnacentral:rRNA from 1 species
GCGGACGACCAGGGCGAGCGCCAGAACGUUUUUUACCUUUAGACAUUACAUCACUCCUUCUGCACGUAAUUUUUGACGCACGUUUUCUUCUGCGUCAGUAAGAACGUCAGUGUUUCCUGCGCGUACACGCAAGGUAAACGCGAACAAUUCAGCGGCUUUAACCGGACGCUCGACGCCAUUAAUAAUGUUUUCCGUAAAUUCAGCGCCUUCCAU